rnacentral:rRNA from 1 species
UGGGGAAUCUUGGACAAUGGGCGCAAGCCUGAUCCAGCCAUGCCGCGUGGAUGAUGAAGGCCUUAGGGUUGUAAAAUCCUUUCGUGGGGGACGAUAAUGACGGUACCCCAAGAAGAAGCUCCGGCUAACUUCGUGCCAGCAGCCGCGGUAAUACGAAGGGGGCUAGCGUUGUUCGGAUUUACUGGGCGUAAAGCGCGUGUAGGCGGGUCGUUAAGUUGGGGGUGAAAUCCCGAGGCUCAACCUCGGAACUGCCUUCAAAACUGGCGACCUGGACUCAAGCAGAGGCAAGUGGAAUUGCGAGUGUAGAGGUGAAAUUCGUAGAUAUUCGCAGGAACACCAGUGGCGAAGGCGACUUGCUGGGCUGACACUGACGCUGAGGCGCGAAAGCCAGGGGAGCAAACGGGAUUAGAUACCCAAGUAGUCCCUGAGCGGGCUGGCAAGGCGCAU